rnacentral:rRNA from 1 species
UACGUAGGGCGCAAGCGUUGUCCGGAAUUAUUGGGCGUAAAGAGCUCGUAGGCGGUCUGUCGCGUCUGCUGUGAAAUCCCGAGGCUCAACCUCGGGCUUGCAGUGGGUACGGGCAGACUAGAGUGCGGUAGGGGAGAAUGGAAUUCCUGGUGUAGCGGUGGAAUGCGCAGAUAUCAGGAGGAACACCGAUGGCGAAGGCAGUAUCUUGGCCGUAACUGACGUCGGAGGAGCGAAAG